CAAUAGCGUAUAUUUAAGUUGCUGCAGUUAAAAAGCUCGUAGUUGGAUUUCGGGUGGGAAUGGCCGGUCCGCCGUUUCGGUGUGCACUUGCUACGCCCACCUUGCUGCCGGGGACGUGCUCUUGAGUUCACGCUCGGGACACGGAGUCGGCGAGGUUACUUUGAGUAAAUUAGAGUGUUCAAAGCAGGCCUACGCUCUGAAUACAUUAGCAUGGAAUAACACGAUAGGACUCUGGCCUAUCUUUUUGGUCUGUAGGACCGGAGUAAUGAUUAAGAGGGACAGUCGGGGGCAUUCGUAUUUCAUUGUCAGAGGUGAAAUUCUUGGAUUUAUGAAAGACGAACUACUGCGAAAGCAUUUGCCAAGGAUGUUUUCAUUAA
rnacentral:rRNA from 1 species